GUGGGGAAUAUUGGACAAUGGGCGAAAGCCUGAUCCAGCCAUGCCGCGUGUGUGAAGAAGGUCUUCGGAUUGUAAAGCACUUUAAGUUGGGAGGAAGGGUAGUAACCUAAUACGUUGCUACUUUGACGUUACCGACAGAAUAAGCACCGGCUAACUUCGUGCCAGCAGCCGCGGUAAUACGAAGGGUGCAAGCGUUAAUCGGAAUUACUGGGCGUAAAGCGCGCGUAGGUGGUUCAGUAAGUUGGAAGUGAAAUCCCCGGGCUCAACCUGGGAACUGCUUUCAAAACUGCUGAGCUAGAGUACGGUAGAGGGUGGUGGAAUUUCCUGUGUAGCGGUGAAAUGCGUAGAUAUAGGAAGGAACACCAGUGGCGAAGGCGACCACCUGGACUGAUACUGACACUGAGGUGCGAAAGCGUGGGGAGCAAACAGGAUUAGAUACCUGGUAGUCC
rnacentral:rRNA from 1 species